AACGAACGCUGGCGGCAGGCCUAACACAUGCAAGUCGAGCGAGGACUUCGGUCCUAGCGGCGGACGGGUGAGUAACGCGUGGGAACGUGCCCUUUGCUUCGGAAUAGCCCUGGGAAACUGGGAGUAAUACCGGAUGAGCCCUUUGGGGGAAAGAUUUAUCGGCGAAGGAUCGGCCCGCGUUGGAUUAGGUAGUUGGUGGGGUAAUGGCCUACCAAGCCGACGAUCCAUAGCUGGUUUGAGAGGAUGAUCAGCCACGCUGGGACUGAGACACGGCCCAGACUCCUACGGGAGGCAGCAGUGGGGAAUCUUAGACAAUGGGGGAAACCCUGAUCUAGCCAUGCCGCGUGAGCGAUGAAGGCCUUAGGGUUGUAAAGCUCUUUCAGCUGGGAAGAUAAUGACGGUACCAGCAGAAGAAGCCCCGGCUAACUCCGU
rnacentral:rRNA from 1 species